rnacentral:rRNA from 1 species
UGGGGAAUAUUGGACAAUGGGCGCAAGCCUGAUCCAGCAAUGCCGCGUGAGUGAUGAAGGCCUUAGGGUUGUAAAGCUCUUUCGCCCGCGACGAUGAUGACGGUAGCGGGAGAAGAAGCCCCGGCUAACUCCGUGCCAGCAGCCGCGGUAAUACGGAGGGGGCUAGCGUUGUUCGGAAUUACUGGGCGUAAAGGGCGCGCAGGCGGCUGCUCAAGUCAGGCGUGAAAGGCCUGGGCUCAACCCGGGAAUUGCGCUUGAGACUGGGCUGGCUUGAGUGCGGGAGAGGAUGGUGGAAUUCCCAGUGUAGAGGUGAAAUUCGUAGAUAUUGGGAAGAACACCGGUGGCGAAGGCGGCCAUCUGGACCGCAACUGACGCUGAGGCGCGAAAGCGUGGGGAGCAAA